UACGGGGGGGGCAAGCGUUGUUCGGAAUUACUGGGCGUAAAGGGCUCGUAGGCGGCCAACUAAGUCAGACGUGAAAUCCCUCGGCUUAACCGGGGAACUGCGUCUGAUACUGGAUGGCUUGAGUGUGGGAGAGGGAUGCGGAAUUCCAGGUGUAGCGGUGAAAUGCGCAGAUAUCGGGAAGAACACCCGUGGCGAAGGCGGCUCUCUGGGACGGUACUGACGCUGAGACGCGAAAGCGUGGGGAGCGAACAGG
rnacentral:rRNA from 1 species